rnacentral:rRNA from 1 species
AACGCGAAGAACCUUACCAGGUCUUGACAUCCCGCUGAUCGCUCUGGAGACAGAGCUUCCCUUCGGGGCAGCGGUGACAGGUGGUGCAUGGUUGUCGUCAGCUCGUGUCGUGAGAUGUUGGGUUAAGUCCCGCAACGAGCGCAACCCUUAUUUCUAGUUGCCAGCAUUCAGUUGGGCACUCUAGAGAGACUGCCGUCGACAAGACGGAGGAAGGCGGGGAUGACGUCAAAUCAUCAUGCCCCUUAUGACCUGGGCUACACACGUGCUACAAUGGUUGGUACAACGGGAUGCUACCUCGCGAGGGGACGCCAAUCUCUUAAAACCAAUCUCAGUUCGGAUUGUAGGCUGCAACUCGCCUACAUGAAGUCGGAAUCGCUAGUAAUCGCGGAUCAGCAUGCCGCGGUGAAUACGUUCCCGGGCCUUGUACACACCGUAGUAC